rnacentral:lncRNA from 1 species
GCCUAGACACACAGCCAGAGCCUUCUCACUUGCAUAAGGGCACCCUAAUAGUAAUACUGGUGAGACAAAUUCCUGGGCUUCCAGGGUUGGAUGGCACUCUCCACAGUGCAGCUCAGUACUGGGUUUAAGAGGUCUCUCUGUUCUUACGGUUAGGAGAUGAUUUGUGACAAAAACCACUUGGGUCGGUCUCAGUCCUUAAGUCUUCAGUAUUUUAAGGACACAUGAAAAGUUUUGCAUGGAUGAAGGACUGUGAUAAGCGACCAAGUCUGUUUCCUAAAGUCGUCCAGGAAACGUCCUAAUGGGCAACAGCUGAUUCCAAGAAACCCUUCAGAGUGGCAUUGAGUGGGGACUGAAGCUCUGGGGAUUUUGAGGGUAGCGAGGAGACAAACCACCUCACAGAGCAGCUGGGGAUUUCCCAGGAGGCCCUGCUCAGUUGAGUCACAGGUCCUGUGUUUGACCUGUGGUCUUGUGGAGCGGCAGAACCUCACCGAGCUGCCAAGGAAGCAGAACGCUCCUCGCUGCCCUGAGAUCGAAAGGUUUGUCUGCUGGGGACUAGUGGGGGACUAGAGGAGUGAGGACGGACUGUGUGCUCCAGUGCAGAUUUCUAGACUGUUCUUCCCUUGUAGUUUAUAAUUUCCAUCUCAUAGCCCACGACAUAAAGAUUAAAAAAUGAAGUUGGUCCCCCCUUUUCUUUUUUUCUUUUUCUUGAGACAAGGUCUUGUGUAGCCCAGUCUAGUCUCAAACUCUCUGUAUAGCCUGACACUGAAUUUCUGACUCUCCUGCCUCCAUCUCCUGAGUGCUAGGAUUACUACUGUACCUGAUUGAGUACCUGGGUUCCAUGCAUGCUAGGCAGGUGCUUCACCGCCUGAGCUUCAGCACCAGCCUUAGAAUUUGUUUUUAAUUGCCUUUUUUGUUUGUUUACAAUCCUCAAAUCUCAAAAUUGGCAAGUACAGGUCUGUGCUUAAGAAACCCUGACAGUGGGCUGGAGAGAUGGUUCGGUGGUUAAGAGCACUGACUGCUCUUCCAGAGGUCCUGAGUUCAAAUCCCAGCAACCACAUGGUGGCUCACAACUAUCUGUAAUGGGAUCUGGUGCCCUCUUCUGGUGUGUCUGAAGACAGCUACAGUGUACUUAUAUAUAAUAAAUAAAUAAGUCUUUUUUAAAAAAAGAAAAGAAAGAAACUCUGACAGUAAAUUAACAGGGGUCUUUUAAAAUGAGCCCAAUUAAAUGUUC